GUACAAUGAUGAAAACCCAUGCGUGUCAUCUGACUCUGUAAACCGCUGUUGUGUUGUUGCUCUGGUUGGCGUUUUGCUGGCUGGAGUCCUCCAAUACAGCAGGGAUUCAGAGACAUGAUCACACAUCACUACUCUGAGUAC
ensembl:snoRNA SNORD10 small nucleolar RNA, C/D box 10